AACAUUUUCAAACAAAGGCCUCCCGCCUCCAUACUUCUCCCAAAGUUCUUCCACUGAGUUUCUUCCUUUCUUCCUUUUCAACUUCAUAUUCUGUAUCAUUUCACCUACCACUUUAUUCCAGGUACCUUUUGAUUUUAGCAAGAGUUCACCUGCUAUAAUCCCAGAGGUUCUAACUCCAAUUGAUCACUGGAAUAACUCCCCCCCUCUCCAUAUAUUGGGCUCUUCUAAAAGCAAAGCCUACGCAGCUUCAGUCUCUUUCCUUAUUCUCCCAUAUUUGUUCCCAAUCCUCCCUCCAGACACAUCUUGCCACGGACAAUGGAAUGACUGUUGGCUUCUUCUCCAUAUAAUAAUAAGUAACCCAUUCUACUUCUUCUUUUCUAGCUCUCUGAUCUGUACCACCAUCUCCUCCACCACAAUCCCUCCACACCAAUGCGUUCCCUACAAAUCUUAACCGUCCAACUGUGUCCCCGGAAGUCUUUCCGUGUGUCCAGGCCCCAUCUUGUUCUUCUCCCUGCUUCCUGCUGCCUGGUCACCCUUCUGAAGUCCACCUUCCUAUGGUCUCCUCGGUUCUGAACUCUUCAAAGCCCCUCAGUAGCUCUUAAGAAAACAGAAAGUACUACUAGUAAUACCAAGAGUACUACAGACUUUCCAAAAGAGCUGUGCCC